rnacentral:tRNA from 1 species
GAGGAUGUAGCUCAGAUGGUAGAGCGCUCGCUUUGCAUGCGAGAGGUGCUGGGGUCGAUGCCCAACAUCUUUA